rnacentral:rRNA from 1 species
CACGCCGCGUGAACGAUGAAGGCCUUCGGGUCGUAAAGUUCUGUUGUCAGGGAAGAACAAGUACCGGAGUAACUGCCGGUACCUUGACGGUACCUGACCAGAAAGCCACGGCUAACUACGUGCCAGCAGCCGCGGUAAUACGUAGGUGGCAAGCGUUGUCCGGAAUUAUUGGGCGUAAAGCGCGCGCAGGCGGUUCCUUAAGUCUGAUGUGAAAGCCCCCGGCUCAACCGGGGAGGGUCAUUGGAAACUGGGGAACUUGAGUGCAGAAGAGGAGAGCGGAAUUCCACGUGUAGCGGUGAAAUGCGUAGAGAUGUGGAGGAACACCAGUGGCGAAGGCGGCUCUCUGGUCUGUAACUGACGCUGAGGCGCGAAAGCGUGGGGAGCGAACAGGAUUAGAUACCCUGGUAGUCCACGCCGUAAACGAUGAGUGCUAAGUGUUAGAGGGUUUCCGCCCUUUAGUGCUGCAGCAAACGCAUUAAGCACUCCGCCUGGGGAGUACGGCCGCAAGGCUGAAACUUA